AGAGUUUGAUCAUGGCUCAGAUUGAACGCUGGCGGCAGGCCUAACACAUGCAAGUCGAGCGGAUGAGUGGAGCUUGCUCCAUGAUUCAGCGGCGGACGGGUGAGUAAUGCCUAGGAAUCUGCCUGGUAGUGGGGGACAACGUUUCGAAAGGAACGCUAAUACCGCAUACGUCCUACGGGAGAAAGCAGGGGACCUUCGGGCCUUGCGCUAUCAGAUGAGCCUAGGUCGGAUUAGCUAGUUGGUGGGGUAAAGGCCUACCAAGGCGACGAUCCGUAACUGGUCUGAGAGGAUGAUCAGUCACACUGGAACUGAGACACGGUCCAGACUCCUACGGGAGGCAGCAGUGGGGAAUAUUGGACAAUGGGCGAAAGCCUGAUCCAGCCAUGCCGCGUGUGUGAAGAAGGUCUUCGGAUUGUAAAGCACUUUAAGUUGGGAGGAAGGGCAGUAAGUUAAUACCUUGCUGUUUUGACGUUACCAACAGAAUAAGCACCGGCUAACUCGUGCCAGCAGCCGCGGUAAUAC
rnacentral:rRNA from 1 species